GGAUCCAUUAGCUCAAAGUUGGUAUGAGCGCCCAAACUGCUACGUAUGGGAGGAUGGUGGUUCGACUCCACCUGGAUCCG